rnacentral:rRNA from 1 species
UUGAUCCUGGCUCAGAUUGAACGCUGGCGGCAGGCCUAACACAUGCAAGUCGAGCGGUAGCACAGAGAGCUUGCUCUCGGGUGACGAGCGGCGGACGGGUGAGUAAUGUCUGGGAAACUGCCUGAUGGAGGGGGAUAACUACUGGAAACGGUAGCUAAUACCGCAUAAUGUCGCAAGACCAAAGUGGGGGACCUUCGGGCCUCAUGCCAUCAGAUGUGCCCAGAUGGGAUUAGCUAGUAGGUGGGGUAAUGGCUCACCUAGGCGACGAUCCCUAGCUGGUCUGAGAGGAUGACCAGCCACACUGGAACUGAGACACGGUCCAGACUCCUACGGGAGGCAGCAGUGGGGAAUAUUGCACAAUGGGCGCAAGCCUGAUGCAGCCAUGCCGCGUGUAUGAAGAAGGCCUUCGGGUUGUAAAGUACUUUCAGCGAGGAGGAAGGCAUUAAGGUUAAUAACCUUAGUGAUUGACGUUACUCGCAGAAGAAGCACCGGCUAACUCCGUGCCAGCGGCCGCGGUAAUACGGAGGGUGCAAGCGUUAAUCGGAAUUACUGGGCGUAAAGCGCACGCAGGCGGUCUGUUAAGUCAGAUGUGAAAUCCCCGGGCUCAACCUGGGAACUGCAUUUGAAACUGGCAGGCUUGAGUCUUGUAGAGGGGGGUAGAAUUCCAGGUGUAGCGGUGAAAUGCGUAGAGAUCUGGAGGAAUACCGGUGGCGAAGGCGGCCCCCUGGACAAAGACUGACGCUCAGGUGCG